GUUGUAAAAUAUAUUGUUCAUUGUUAGUUCAUAUUAGCUAAGGCAUUACCAAAUGUUAAGGAAUAAACUCUUAUAGUAAAGUGUUACUAAAUUUUCUUUUACCAUUUCCUUCACAAUGUCUAUUUAUUUCUAUGGCUAACAGAUUUUGUAACAUUUGUCUUUUUUACAGGCUUACCAUUGCUUGUAAGCUGGAUUGGGUAAGAUGGAUCAUCUUUAAAGGCACCAGGAGUUAAGGCAGAUGUGGAGGCACAACGGGUGAUACCAGACACACACCAAGCACAUUAUGUUCGGACAUUCAAUCAUGACAGGAUCCAGGUGGAUGCUGUCCAUUGAGAAAAGAGUUUGUUCAGCGGUUUCUGGAUAGAAUUAAUUCCAAAGAUGGGAAAAAGUGCACAUCCAGACAAGGAGCAAGCAAAAAGACAAGGAACUUGGUGCAGAGAAAAGCUGUGGCCAUUAACCCCCAUGUGAACAGCUUCAUGCAGUCCCUGAUUGAGUUCGAAUGGACGACUUCAAAGUAAAGGCCACUGUGGUCUGUCUGCCACAGUUUAAUGCAUUUAUUUUUAGUGUUAAAUGAAAUUCAAGUAGAAUAUUUAAAACUAUGGGCCAGUGUUGUUUUUACCACAGUGAAAUGUUACCUUUUAGUCGAUGAUGGACUUUAAACUGAAAACUUCAAACUAUGGAACAGUGUUCUAUUUGCCAGAGUUAAAUAUGUUACAGCAGGGGUCUCCAAACUUGUUUAUACUUGUUGAUUUUAUUUUAUGUUACUUGAUUAUAUGUUUAUUAUUGUUUAAAAUCUUGUUUUAAAUAUGUUUGUUUCAAUUAAAUGUUUUUUUAAAUAAAAUUUUGAUACAAACAUUGCUUGGAUUGCCUUUUAAUUCAUUAUGUUUU